rnacentral:rRNA from 1 species
CAGUCGCCACGGGAACACGUAGGGUGCAAGCGUUAAUCGGAAUUACUGGGCGUAAAGCGUGCGCAGGCGGUUUGUUAAGACAGAUGUGAAAUCCCCGGGCUCAACCUGGGAACUGCAUUUGUGACUGGCAGGCUAGAGUAUGGCAGAGGGGGGUGGAAUUCCGCGUGUAGCAGUGAAAUGCGUAGAUAUGCGGAGGAACACCGAUGGCGAAGGCAAUCCCCUGGGCCUGUACUGACGCUCAUGCACGAAAGCGUGGGGAGCAAACAGGAUUAGAUACCCCUGUAGUCCCGUCUCUUAUACA